AUUGAACGCUAGCGGCAUGCCUAACACAUGCAAGUCGAGCGAGCGUCGGACGGGUGCGUAAUGUAUGUAGUCUGCCCGAUAGCGGGGGAUAACUACUGGACACGGUAGCUACUACCGCCUCCUCUCUGAUAAACCCUAUGGGAUUAGCUAGUAGGUGAGGUAAUGGCUCACCUAGGCGACGAUCCCUAGCUGGUCUGAGAGGAUGAUCAGCCACAUGGGGACUGAGACACGGCCAAGACUCCGACGGAGGCAGCAGGGGGGAAGAUUGGACAAGGGGCGCAAGCCUGAUGCAGCCAGGCGGGGUGUAUGAAGAAGGCUCUAGGGUGGUAAAGUACGUUCAGUCGGGAGGCGUUACCGACAGAAGAAGCACCGGCUAACUCCGUGCCAGCAGCCGCGGUAAUUC
rnacentral:rRNA from 1 species